AAAAAGCGUUAAUUUUGCGGCCGUUUCUAUAUGUCCGUUUCUAUAUGCGCAGAAACCAUAAUAUCGACGACAGAGCAAUCUUCAAAACCCCCAACAAAAUGGCGUUUGCUCAGUUUAGGUUGUUCCGUGGUUGUGGAUGGAUCGUUCGAUGAAGCAAAUCCUACACAAUUGGUCGAUGAGAAACAAAUCCAACAUUCAGUUUUUAGCAACGGCGCAAGAAACGAAGAAACUUUUCAGUAGUUGUAAAUUUCUUAGGACAAAUGAGAAAUUACACUGGCAUGAAAUGUUAGAAAGAAAGGAAUUGAAAUGAAUCAAAAACGUAAAUAUUAAAGCGUUUAACUACAAAAUAAAAGAUUACCACAAAGUUGAAAGUUCUUUAGGACAAAUAAAAAAAACCGGCAUGUCAUUUUAUGAGGAAAGGAUAUAAAAUGAACCAGAAAUGUAAGCAUUUAACCAAGAAACUAAAAAGGUUCCCACCUAAUUGAAAGUUCCUUAGGACAAAUGAGAAAUUAAAACAGCAUGUCAUUUUAUGAGGAAAGGAUAUAAAACGAAUCAGAAAUCAUUUAACCACAAAAUUAAAAAGCUUCCCACCAAAUUGAAAGUUCCUUAGGAUAAAAGAAAAAUUAAACUGGGAUGUUAUGUUAUGAGGAAAGGAAAUAAAUCAUAAGUGUAAAUA